rnacentral:ncRNA from 1 species
ACCUUUCUUCGGAAAUGAGUUUUUACUCUACUGGCGGUACAGCCCGCGAGCAAUAAGCUAAUUCGGUUUGAUUCCGAAGCCAACAGACAGUCUGGAUGGGAGAAGAAGGCU